rnacentral:rRNA from 1 species
CCUACGGGUGGCAGCAGUGGGGAAUAUUGGGCAAUGGGCGCAAGCCUGACCCAGCAACGCCGCGUGAAGGAAGAAGGCUUUCGGGUUGUAAACUUCUUUUCUCAGGGACGAAGCAAGUGACGGUACCUGAGGAAUAAGCCACGGCUAACUACGUGCCAGCCGCCGCGGGAAUGCGGAGGUGGCAAGCGUUAUGCGGAUUUACUGGGUGUAAAGGGCGUGUAGGCGGGACUGCAAGUCAGAUGUGAAAACCACGGGCUCAACCUGUGGCCUGCAGUUGAAACUGUAGUUCUUGAGUGCUGGAGAGGCAGACGGAAUUCGUGGUGUAGCGGUGAAAUGCGUAGAUAUUAGGAGGAACACCAGUGGCGAAGGCGGUCUGCUGGACAGCAACUGACGCUGAGGCGCGAAAGCGUGGGGAGCAAACAGGAUUAGAUACCCCUGUAGUC